rnacentral:rRNA from 1 species
AUUGAACGCUGGCGGCAGGCCUAACACAUGCAAGUCGAGCGGCAGCGGAAAGUAGCUUGCUACUUUGCCGGCGAGCGGCGGACGGGUGAGUAAUGUCUGGGAAACUGCCUGAUGGAGGGGGAUAACUACUGGAAACGGUAGCUAAUACCGCAUAACGUCGCAAGCCCAAAGAGGGGGACCUUCGGGCCUCUUGCCAUCAGAUGUGCCCAGAUGGGAUUAGCUAGUAGGUGGGGUAACGGCUCACCUAGGCGACGAUCCCUAGCUGGUCUGAGAGGAUGACCAGCCACACUGGAACUGAGACACGGUCCAGACGCCUACGGGAGGCAGCAGUGGGGAAUAUUGCACAAUGGGCGCAAGCCUGAUGCAGCCAUGCCGCGUGUAUGAAGAAGGCCUUCGGGUUGUAAAGUACUUUCAGCGGGGAGGAAGGUGUUGAGGUUAAUAACCUCAGCAAUUGACAUUACCCGCAGAAGAAGCACCGGCUAACUCCGUG